rnacentral:rRNA from 1 species
CUAAUUUGACAAUAUAUUAUAUAUUGUCAGGUUACGACGGCAUACAAAAUAUUACAUAAGAAAGAAGUGGGAUACCUUGGUGGUUAUCAUUUAUUUGGUAAGUUCCCCUAAUUUUUAAAAUUACCGUCAUGCUAUUUGAGUUUUAAUCAACCAAGAUUUUAGUACUCAGUAUAUUUUAGUGGGUAUUGUAUAAAAGGGUAUCUAAUCCUUGUUUAUGAUCAAUAUUUUAUAUAUUUUUAGAUUAUAUAAAGAUUAUUGUGCUAUUAUUUCACCAAUUUUUACAUUAUAAGCUAUUUAUACUAUAUAUUGUUUAUUACUAUAAAAGUUUGACCGCGACUGCUGGCACUUUAUAAGUCAUAGUAUUUAAUAUUGGUUUAUUCUUACUUUCAUAAAUUUUUAAAUUUUCUUUCCUGGUUAGAUCUUUU